rnacentral:ncRNA from 1 species
GUAAUUACCGGAGGGCAUUAGUCCUCGACUGGUCUACAAGGGAUAUCGAUUCUAGUAAUUAAGCGUACUGUAAGUACGUCGAUCUCUUGGAAAGUGGGGAAACCCACUUUUUUUAUGGGAA